UUGAGGACUGGAGUGGAGCAGGUUUCCGUGCCAACAGUCGUUGAACGCGGGUCAGUCGAUUGCGAGCCAAGUGG
rnacentral:rRNA from 1 species